AGUGAACGCUGGCGGUAGGCCUAACACAUGCAAGUCGAACGGCAGCACAGUAAGAGCUUGCUCUUACGGGUGGCGAGUGGCGGACGGGUGAGGAAUACAUCGGAAUCUACUUUUUCGUGGGUGAUAACGUAGGGAAACUUACGCUAAUACCUCAUACGACCUACGGGUGAAAUCAGGGGAUCUUCGGACCUUGCGCGAUUGAAUGAGCCGAUGUCGGAUUAGCUAGUUGGCGGGGUAAAGGCCCACCAAGGCGACGAUCCGUAGCUGGUCUGAGAGGAUGAUCAGCCACACUGGAACUGAGACACGGUCCAGACUCCUACGGGAGGCAGCAGUGGGGAAUAUUGGACAAUGGGCGCAAGCCUGAUCCAGCCAUACCGCGUGGGUGAAGAAGGCCUUCGGGUUGUAAAGCCCUUUUGUUGGGAAAGAAAAGCAGCAGGUUAAUACCCCGCUGUUCUGACGGUACCCAAAGAAUAAGCACCGGCUAACUUCGUG
rnacentral:rRNA from 1 species